UCCAGACUCCUACGGGAGGCAGCAGUGGGGGAUAUUGCACAAUGGGGGAAACCCUGAUGCAGCGACGCCGCGUGGGUGAAGAAGCGCCUCGGCGCGUAAAGCCCUUUCAGCAGGGAAGAAAAUGACGGUACCUGAAGAAGAAGCCCCGGCUAACUACGUGCCAGCAGCCGCGGUAAUACGUAGGGGGCAAGCGUUAUCCGGAUUUACUGGGUGUAAAGGGGGCGCAGACGGCGAUGCAAGCCAGGAGUGAAAGCCCGGGGCCCAACCCCGGGACUGCUCUUGGAACUGCGUGGCUGGAGUGCAGGAGGGGCAGGCGGAAUUCCUGGUGUAGCGGUGAAAUGCGUAGAUAUCAGGAGGAACACCGGUGGCGAAGGCGGCGUGCCGUGCCGCCACUGACGCUGAGGCACGAAAGCGCGGGGAUCGAACAGGAUUAGAUACCCUAGUAA
rnacentral:rRNA from 1 species